AAGGCUCUGGCUACAAUAAGGGCAUCAUGCAGAGCACUUUAGUCAGAAGAGUUCCUGGUGCCUUCUGGUCAGUGAUCUCAUCAUAUCCUCAGGACAACCCCAAGAGGCAGCAGAGGGAAAUGAUUUUUCUCCCCGCUAGGCAGCUAAGGAGACAGAUCAAUAGAGAUCACCUGACUUGGCCAAGAAAUGAGAAUCGCUUUGGAACAGAACUUAGAGAGAACCCAAGGUCCUCUCUGUCAAGUCUACCAGUCAGACCAAUCAGCAGAGGAGGCCUCCUCAAGCUGCAGGUCUGCUGUGGCAGGAACCUGCACAGUUUGUUCACUUUGGUGUGGAAGGACAUUUCAUGGCCCCUUCACACCACUGAAUGUUAGAUUAGAUGGGCCUUGAGAGAUCAUUUGAUUCAACACCCUCAUAAAGAAGGAAACUGAGACCAAAAGAUGAAUCUUUUUACUCUCCCUUUCUUUCCCUGCCCUACUGAUAUCUAGAGGUAGGGCAGAGAUGGUUAGCGGUCUACCCAAAUCCCUUCUCCCCUUCUUUGCCUGUAUGGUUAGACUACAUUUCCCAGCCCCCUGUGCAGUUGGGUGAGCCAUGUGACCAUGCUCUCUCCAGUGGAAUGUAAGAGGAGAUGAGGCACUUCCAGACCGGGCCCACCAAAACCUCCUCUGCUCACACCACCACAUUCUUUUCACCUCUGGCUGACUGGGAUGCCAAUUCCCAGAGCAACUUUGGAAGCCAUACUAGAGUAUGGCAGAACCACCAUAACGUGGAUGCAUAAUGUGGAUUCUUGUUCCUUUAACAGCCUUAGACACUGAUGUUCAGCUCAAUGGACAGCUUCUUCACACAGCCUACUGAGCUGAACAUCGGUGUCUAAGGCUGUUAAGGUAACAAGAAUGAAACACAUGGUGCUAAGCUGCUGCAUCUGGGUGGCCUAUUUGUUACUAUAGCCUAGCCUAGUCUGAUUAACACAAGUAGAGGCAGGAAACCCCUGGCGAAAGCUCUGACUACAUCAAGUUUCAGGUGGCAAAGACACUGGGCUCCCUGCUGAUUUCACUGUCAAUUACAUUGGGGUGCCCCCACUCCUACCUGUGGAGAGGUUAGGAAUGCCUGUUAACUCACUCAGUCCUGGAAUUUGUUCUGGGCUGUCUUCCCACCUGUUUUAUCCUAGAUCAACAGAUUCCCAGGGCUGGAAUGGGUCUGAGAAGUCGUCUGAUUUAUGACCCUGGCUCCAGAUAGGACCUCUCAAGCUAUCUGAGAUGAUCAAGAAUCUUGUCUGGAUUUUCAUAUCCCUGGGAAGAAAACACUACAAAUGUUCUUAGAUAACUGUUUUAGUCUAUGGCUGUACCACCC
rnacentral:lncRNA from 10 species